GAGUCAAAUGGUUACAUAAGAAUCUCAACUGUCAUAUUUUAAAAGUGUGACGAGAAAGACAUCAUGAGGUUCCCUCUCUUACAGUUCCCCAAAUUGUGAUGAGGGGAGAAUGGAAUUUGCUCCACUGCAGAACAAACAGGGAAUUCCAACCCAGAAUUUGCGGGUUCACUGAGAUUCGUUAUGGAUAGUGAGAAGUAUUCUAGAGAUACUACAAGUAUCUUCUUUGUCUGAGGGCAAUACUGCUCAGCUGCUUGCUUGUCACUUUCAUUCUGAUUUUGAUGAAUCAUGGAAGAUUGUUUGCAUCCCCUGAGAAAGUUAUAUGUAUCAAAGGAGAAAUAACCCCUGUCUCAUUCAGCGCAGAGGAUGGAUGGUGCUCAAUUAAGGGGCAGAGCUGGGAUGCAGUUCUGACCAUAUUUCACAUUAUGGUUCAGGCCACAGCAGAGAGCACAGAGAGCUGGCAGCUGCAUGUGACUGCAACGGAGGUGUUUUAUUAGUGAUUGUCCAGAAGUGACACAGACAGGAAGUACUUCAAAGUAUAAUGAGACCUACAGUAUUCAAUCUUUUAGGCACAAACAUUUCCAUCAGAAAUACAAAAGUGAAGACUCCCAUUUGACAGAAGGCACAAACUGUGAACUCCAUGUAACACUCAGCCUGAUAAUUUGACUAAUAAAACUAAAUUUUGA